UGGCUGAGCCAAAAGGGUACACAACUUUUUAUAAAGGAAUAUGAGAAAUUGAAAGACGAAGGUAAUGUCCCAGAGGAGAAGCUUAUGGAAGAAACGGCUUUAGCACUGGAAGCUCAUGGCAUCUACCUUGACCGCUCUCGAGCUCCUCCUAAGCCUGAACCAGAACAACCUUCUGUUGAAACUCAGCCCAGAGAGCCACAGUCUCAACUCUUGACAGACAAAGUACGUCUGUCUGACAUCUUCAAAGAGAGUCAGGAGGAGAAGAAUUAAGCAGGAUUUUGUAAACAGAUGUUGUAAAUAUAUGUAGAUCAUGCAGAAUUGUUAAA